UAUGUACACCAUGAUGUGUGUGUAUGUGUACAUAUGCACAUUUGUGUGUGCAUAUACAUGUGCACAUUCAUGAGCAAAUGUGCG
rnacentral:miRNA from 1 species